AAAACUCGAAAUUCCAACUUAAAAGUUGACAAAUGCACUGAGACAAGGAAUCCUGACGUACAGCUACAGUGUGGGAAUGCUUGCCAGGAGAGCCAUUCAUCUUGGAAGAGAGUCCCGUGAAGGUACCAUGUCUCCUUUAGUCUGACUCCCUUCGUUUCCUGAAGCAACAUCACAUGGCAGAUCUAUGAAGUCAUGAGGUGCACAUACUCUGCCAUCAGUCGUGUGGAACCCUGCAUGAUUGGCACAGCCUACUCUCCAAUGGCUCCUUUCUGGAGGUUUAACUUCUGAAAUAGUUCUCCACUGCCUGCCUUCAGUGAAAAGACAAGACUUGAUGUGUGAAUGACUCCACACUUGGUGUUGAAAGCACUUAUGUUUAUCUGAUGUUUAUGAGUCGGGUCUUCAGAGCUGGCAAGAAUGGCCUGUGUUGGAGAUCUGCAGAAAUAACAGCCACACAUCGUUGGAUUGCCUUUACUUUCUUCUACUCCAGAUAGCAGACUGGUGAUUCAAAGUAUGUCACAGGGAUAUAGAGCAUGUGAUCAUGGAAGUGGACAUUGUUUUUGGAGACUUUCUUGGUUCCUUGCCAGAUUGAAGGACCCAGUCAGGACAGGAGAUCCCAAAACAAUUUGACUACCUUCAUCCUCGAAAGAAGAGAUGAAAAUCUGACAGGCUGUCCAAUGUCAACUGGACCUGACCAUCAGGUUCACGGUUUGCUCUGAUACCACACUCACAUAACCAACAGCCUCUGCCCUUCAUUUCUUGCUCUUGCUGUACUGUCUAUUUUCCUUGAAUGUUUAGUGCAACAAGGAUAGCGACGCCUUCUCAUUGAGAAUCCCAUGUUCUCAAGUGUGUGUGAUGUAAGGCUAGGGGGCAGACCUGCUGUCUAACACUUGGAUAUUAACAGAAGAACUUUUCAAACUGCUUAGCAUAAUAUUAUAUAUCAUUAUAUAACUCACACACUUAUCUUUCCCAUGUGACACCCCUUUAAGCAAUUAGUGAUAGAAUAUUUCAAUACAUUAAAAAGCCAAGUGGCCAUAAAAGUGUCCUAGGACAAAUGAGUGAGGUGCAGGUAGAAGAAUUACUAAGCUUUGAUAGAAUGGAAGGUAAUGGAGAAAAUGCAAGGUCAUGCAUAUGUGAAGGAUUACUCUAUCUCAAAUGAUUGCAAUUAUGAUGGGAGGCUCUAAUAUGAGAAACAAAGACCAUUCAGAGGGGAGCUCGUUUUGACUACUGGUCUUUAAAGACCACCUGGUUGUGGCAGUUAAAUGCCUGGGUAGCAGUUUCAAGUCUUGGAUCUACUCCGUACUCUCUUUAAGACCUUGGAAGAUUUACCUAGCCCCUUCAUGCUUCAGUAUCCUUAAUUUAAAGGUAAUAAUUGCGCAUGCUUUAAAGGGUCAUCCAUGACAAGGAUACAGUGAAGUGAUUUGUGUUGAGCUUCAUAAUUGCUGGAGUUUAAUUGCUAUGAUGCUAAGAAUCUUGGUGUGGGAGGGGCCCUUUGGCUAGGGCCAGGAGCAUGAUAUAUAGUUGAGAUACAGGUGUAGUCUUUACUGCUCAUAGCUCUUCAAAAAUGAAUGAGAACAGAAAAUAUGAGGAAAAGGAAGUUACCUAAAAUCUCUAAGAUCAGAGUGAAGAAUCAUAUUGAAAAAGUUCCAUUCACUGAGAUCACUGAAGAACACACCUCAAGGAUCAUGGCCUUCUCAGGGAACUUAAACAGUCACCAAACAACAUUUAUUUUUCCAAAUAGAACUGAGGCAUCUUAAAAUAGAGGACAUUUGUACCAAAAGGCUAAGGAAACUGAAAUCUGACAUUAAGAUCAAGGAAAUAAAGAAGGACAUCAGUUAUAGACGGAAACAUCUCUGAUGUCUAAAAACAAGUGGCACAUCUUACCUUCAGUUAAGAUUUUAUCAAUGGUAGGUAUACUGGAGAGACAAAGAAGACUGUUGUCAGUGAGGACUUGUUUGUCUGUGAUUACAAGAAGCUGGAGGGGUCAGCAGGACAAGGGGAGGGCAGAGCAGGUGCAUGCCAUAGUGAUAAAUUGGGCUAUGCUAGCAGGAGAGUUGGUUUUUUUGUGAAGUAAUUCUAUCUAAAUAUUCUGUAAGGUUCUUCAGUGGUAGUGACAGAAUCUCUUAACUACCCAUAUCCAUACCUGCUAACGUCUAUGUACUUCCAUGAGUAGAUCUGUAAUCUGUCUGUUUAUCCUGUCAUCUAUCUAUCUA